CGGAUGAAUGUCCCGGCUGGAUCUCUCUCAACGGAUUCGAGCUGCAACACGAUAACAACCCUCCAGUCCUACUUCCACGGACGGGAUCGACUUAAUAAAGUCCAGAAACGACAGGCUGGAUAAGAGGACAGAGAAGUACGGCAGAAUGGAGAACUUUCCUGGAGAUUGCUGCUAUUCUCCAGCUUAUUGCCUCCUGUCCUUCAUGGUUUCACAUGACGUCCCAGGUGUCAGGAUCGCCUUCACGCUGCAAAUGAAGAAGGUGAUGAUACUGGCGUGCUGGGAUCAAAAAGAGAAGAGAUUGGUCCAGAUAGAAAACGAUAUUAGAAAAGCUUCCUGAGAGCACAUACCUUCACCAAAGCCAAAAA